AUUGAACGCUGGCGGCAUGCCUUACACAUGCAAGUCGAACGGCAGCACGGGAGCUUGCUCCUGGUGGCGAGUGGCGAACGGGUGAGUAAUACAUCGGAACGUACCCAGUAGUGGGGGAUAACGCACCGAAAGGUGCGCUAAUACCGCAUACGACCUAAGGGUGAAAGCGGGGGACCGCAAGGCCUCGCGCUAUUGGAGCGGCCGAUGUCUGAUUAGCUAGUUGGCGGGGUAAAGGCCCACCAAGGCGACGAUCAGUAGCUGGUCUGAGAGGACGAUCAGCCACACUGGGACUGAGACACGGCCCAGACUCCUACGGGAGGCAGCAGUGGGGAAUUUUGGACAAUGGGGGCAACCCUGAUCCAGCAAUGCCGCGUGUGCGAAGAAGGCCUUCGGGUUGUAAAGCACUUUUGUCAGGGAAGAAAUCUUUCAGGCUAAUACCCUUGGAAGGAUGACGGUACCUGAAGAAUAAGCACCGGCUAACUACGUGCAGCCGCCGCCGUAA
rnacentral:rRNA from 1 species